AGUGAACGCUGGCGGUAGGCCUAACACAUGCAAGUCGAACGGCAGCACAGUAAGAGCUUGCUCUUACGGGUGGCGAGUGGCGGACGGGUGAGGAAUACAUCGGAAUCUACUUUUUCGUGGGGGAUAACGUAGGGAAACGUACGCUAAUACCGCAUACGACCUACGGGUGAAAGCAGGGGAUCUUCGGACCUUGCGCGAGUGAAUGAGCCGAUGUCGGCUUAGCUAGUUGGCGGGGUAAAGGCCCACAAAGGCGACGAUCCGUAGCUGGUCUGAGAGGAUGAUCCGCCACACUGGAACUGAGACACGGUCCAGACUCCUACGGGAGGCAGCAGUGGGGAAUAUUAGACGAUGGGCGCAAGCCUGAUCCAGCCCUACCGCGUGGGUGAAGAAGGCCUUCGGGUGGUAAAGCCCUUUUGUUGGGAGAGAAAAGCAGCAGGUUAAUACCCCGCUGUUCUGACGGUACCCAAAGAAUAAGCACCGGCUAACUUCGUG
rnacentral:rRNA from 1 species